UGGGGAAACCCAUAAAGGAAGCUGCUGGAAGCAAAUCGAAUCCGAAUACCGAACACGAUCGGUCAUCUCUGCAUCUUUACACGUAAACAUUUGCCCCAAUACUUUCCGUAUUCCGACAGCACGUUCCAUUUCUUUUUCAAACUCCCUUCCAUUGCGGAAAACAAAAGCUAUUUCACUUACAUUCGCCACUCGCCAUUGAAGCACUGGAAUUUUUUCACAGAAAGCUCGAGUAAAUGCAGAGCAAGUGGGGAAAAUAAAAGUAAUGGAGGCGCCAAAGAAGAGCAGCAGCGUGCUCAAGUCAGCAGUGGAGGAGUUGUCGAAGGGCAGGCACGAGGAGGCGGUCACAUUGUGCAAGCAACUUCUUAAGCAGCCCGGCGGACAAAAUAACUAUGAUGCCCUUGUUGUGCUCGGCAAAGCCCUCUUUGCAAGCGGCCAAUAUGACCACGCGGAAACUUCCUAUCGCCGCGCUGCUGCGCUCAGUCCAAAUUCUCUGCGAGCUUGGCAGGGACUUGUUGAGUUAUCUGAAACAUCUGAAAAAUUGGAUAAGAUGGUGGAGGCGUGCGAGUCAAUUAUUGAAAUAGCCAAGUCAACAGAUGAUAACUCACGCCUGACAGAUUAUUUAUGCAGGCUUGGAAGGGCAUAUGCCAAAUCUAAUGAUUAUGAAAAAGCAUCUCAGACAUGGAGCACUCUCUUGGGUAUUGUGUCAGUAUCAGAAACUCAGAGAUUUGAAGCACUUUGUGGUCUUGCAGAUGCUCAGGCUGUAAUAAUGGGAAAGUCGAGUCCAGAGCCUAACAUAAAUCUCUCACAAAAAGAGCAGCCUGCCUGUUCAUUAUCUGAGAUAGAUACAAGCAGGCCUGUUCCUUUGCUAGGUUCUAUUGCUCCAGAAGAUAAUUCAUUCUCUGUGAAAGAUAAACACCAUUUUUAUGGUACAGUUGAAGCAUUAUUGAAGGAAAUCAUUAACAUAUCUCCCCAAUCACAUAGAUAUCAAGAUAUGUUUCUAAAACUUCUGCUUGAUCGCAUGCGAGAAGCUCAAUCUUCAGGAGGACAGAGAUACAAGAAGGCACAAUUGCAAGUCAUGCAGCAUUCUAUGGCUAUGCUAUCCUACUUUUUUUCAGAAACAGCACUGGGAUUAGCAUUUACUAUGUGUGUGGAAGAUGAUACUGAUCAGAUUUUUGGAGCUAUGGGAAUGGAAAAAUCAGUUGCUUGGGAAGGACGGAUUCUGUGGUUGGGAAAACGUUUUGCUCAUAUCUAUCCACAACAUGGCAGAUCUCUUGUAGCCAUUGCUUAUGCUAUGCAUUGCAGAUCUGGGUACAGUUUGGAGCGCAUAAAGUCAAUUUGUGAGCAAGUACUUCAGCUUGACCUCAGUUGCAUUAUUGGGUGGCAUGUUUUGGCUGAGAUUUGGUCAUUUCAAAAAUCAUUCAGUAAUGUUCAACAAUGUGUUACCAAAGGGCAAGAAGCUAUUUUUUAUUUUCGUGAAGCCUAUGGGUUUAGCCUUAAAGUAGCCGAACUUAGAUUGCAACUAGUGUUGGCAAAUGCACACCUGUCUUUGGGAUCUUACGAUGAGUCUAAUGCAUAUUUUAACAUCAUAGUAGAGGUUGCAGAGAAGCUUGGAGAUGCAGAAGCUUUAAAAGUGAAGUAUGCAGCUAUUGAGGGACAAAUCAAGAUUUUUCUUGCUAAAGGAUGUUUUGAGGAAGCAUGGUCUAAACUUGAGAACUUGCUUGCCAUGGAUGCUAAUAACCACUGGGCACGUGCGGAGUCAGGUUGGUUGGCAUUUCAGAGAGGAAAUCUUGAUGAUGCUCUAUGCCUUUUGGCCGAAGCAGUGAAUAUGAAUUCGGAGAUGGAGAUUGGUUGCUUAGAACCCGUUAUACAUUUUAUUCGCCUUUUGGCUGAAGCAGUGAAUAUGAAUCCAGGUAUUGCAAUCUAUCAUCACUGGCUGGGUUUCUUGUACUGGAAAGCAAGUGAAAAUUUAGACAUCUACAAGGAGAAAGCUGUAGAGCAAUUCAUCUUAGCAGUUAAGUUAAAUCCAUCUGAUGGAGAUGCUUUCCGUUUUCUGGGGCAUUAUUAUAGUCAAGUUACAAAAGAAAUGAACAGGGCUAUAAGGUGUUAUCAGAAAUGUGUCACACUCAACCCUGAAGAUUCAGAAGCAGGGGAAGUUUUAUGUGAUAUUUUGAAUUCUGCGGAACGGGAAACCUUGGAAGCAUCUAUAUGUCAUGAAGCUUCCCAAAGCUCGCCCCGAGCAUUUUGGGCCUGGCGUCGUAUGGGCUACAUAAAGGUGAAUCAACGGAAAUGGUCAGAUGCAGUUGGUAGCCUUCAGCAUGCAAUUCGUGGUUAUCCAAUUUGUGCAGACUUGUGGGAAGCUCUAGGCCUUGCAUAUCAACGACAUGGAAUGCUUACUGCAGCUGUUAAGGCGUAUGCACGGGCUAUUGCACUCGAGGGCAAUUCACGUGUUUUCUCUUUGAUUGAGAGCGGCAAUAUCUUCUCAUCACUUCGAUCUUAUAAGAAAGCUGUUGAGCAUUUUAGGCUUGCAGUAGAAAGUGCACCCCAAAAUCUUGCUGCUCAGUAUGGCCUUGCCUCUGGAUUGCUUGGGAUGUCAAAGGAGUGCACAGCUCUUGGUGCUUUUGGAUGGGCUGCAGAUCUCACAAAGGAAGCAUCUGAGAUUGCAUUUGCUACUUCUCUGUUAUUUGGAAAUAUUACUGCGGUUUGGAAGUUGCUUGGAGACAUAGAGGUUGCAUAUGCUCAAUCUUUGCCAUGGGAAGUAGAAGGUGGAGACUUCAAAAAGGAAAGUGAGGCAUUUAAGGAUUCUGUUUGUUCCUGGAAACAGCAACGUCUUCAGGCAGCAAUUAGUGCUAAGCACGCUUAUGAAUGUGCACUGCACUUGAAUCCUUUGCAGGCAAAUCUGUACAAGGAUAUUGCUAUAUCUGUUGAAUUAAUACAUCGCUUUGAUCAAAAGGAAAUGCCUGACCAAAAUGUUUGGUGUUUGCAAGAGGUCAUGGCAUUAGGGGGGCUGAUUCUUGAAGGCGACAAUGCUGAAUCCUGGAUAACCAUGGGCUGUUUUUCAAAGCAGAAAGCAAUACAGCAACAUGCAUUUAUUAGAGCCCUUCAGGUUGAUGGAUCCCAUGCUCUUGCAUGGGCACAACUUGGAAAGUUGUACCUAGUUGAAGGCCAGAAGGAACUUGCUAGGCAGGCAUUUGAUGGUGCUAGAUGUGCAGAUCCAUUACUAGCAUUAUCUUGGGCUGGCAUGUCAGUUCAUGAAUACAAUGAAGGGGUUAAGGUUGUUCUAGAGGCAUUUGCAAGCUGCCUUUAUGCUGUUCAGUUGAUGCCGGUGGCAGAGUUUCAAUUGGGUCUUACAAAGCUUGCUGUAUCAACAGGUCAUCUCCAGUCAUCAAAGGUAUUGGCAGCAAUAGAGCAGGCUGUUCAACGUGCACCACAUCUUCCAGAAUCACAUAAUCUAAGUGGUCUGGUUUGGGAAUCAAGACAAAACUUUCAACGAGCAACUGUUUCAUACAAGCGUGCACGCUAUGCACUGGAAAAGUUUGGCAGAGCACCCCAAAGUUGUUAUUAUGAUAUAUCCCUUAAUCUAGUGCGAGCCCUUUGUCAGGCAGGGCAGGCAAAAGACGCUGUUAAUGAGUGUGAAGCCUUGGAAAAGGCAGGUAUGCUGGACAGUGAAGGGUUACAAAUAUAUGCAGUGGCAUUAUGGCAGUUGGGAAAUAAUGAUUUGGCCCUCUCUGCAGUUCGUAAAGCAGUAGCCAUUUCCCAGGAAAAGAUCAAAACUGCCACUGUUGUGCUGUACUGUAAAUUGAUUUAUCGUAUAUUGGGGCAGGGUUUUGCCAUGGAUGAAAUAUUGAAGAUUCCAAAGGAAUUCCUUCAAGAUACAAAUUUCAGCUACAUUGCCAUUGCCAUUGCUAUCCUUGAUACUAAUGUUAAGAUUUCUCAUUUUCUUUAUCAUAGUGAUUAUUUGCUAUUUCAGCAUAAAAGAGCUCCUGUACUUCACUCUCUACUUGCAGUUGGUAAACAGCUUUCGGAGAGUGAUACUAAAAUGUUAGCUGGCGAGGUACACUUGAAGAAGGCUUUACAUAUGUACCCUCAAAGUAAUCUUAUCAGGAGCCAACUAGGAUUUCUUCUACUUUCCAGCAGGGAGUGUAAUAGCUCUCACAUUGCAGCAAAAUGUGCAUUCACAGGUUUAGACAGAGUUCCUAAUGGAAAAGAGUCAACUUCAACUCUUGCAGUGCUUGGUGCAGCUGCCAUUGCUUGUAGUGAUUGUGGAGUAUCCAACCCCAUGUUUUCAUUCUCAACAUGUAGAAAUAGAGGUGCGAUUGGAUUUCAGGUUAUAUUACAGUUGCAAAGGUGGUUUCAUCUAGAACCAUGGAACUAUACCGCUCGUUAUCUGCUUAUUCUCAAUAUGUACCAGAAAGCUCGAGGAGAAAAAUAUCCACAUCACCUUUGCCAAGUUAUAAAACGAUUAGUGUCUUCUCAUUCAAAUUUGGUCACAAAUAAGGGACUUGAUAUUUGUCAUUUCCAAGAGCUCCAACUUCUGCUCUGUACAUCUGAAAUCUAUCUUCAAAGUGGCGAUUAUUCUGGCGCAUUAAAGUAUGCAACAACUGCGUCCCAUCUCCAAGUUUCUAAUAGUUUACUUUUCUUUUCACACCUACAAUUGGCCCGAUGCCAUGCAUUGCAAAAUAAUUUGAUAUCACUAAAUGAUGAAUAUAUGAACUGCUUGCAACUGAAGACAGAUAGUGAGAUUGGUUGGGUAACACUUAGUGCUCUUAAAGCUAGAUAUAGCUUACAGGGUGAAAACAACUGUGCUACUAUCCAUCAUGGGGUCUCCAUGGGGGAGGAAGGUUGUCUCCAGAAUAUGUGGAUGGCAUUGCUCGAGUUAGUGCAUGGUCAAAGAUGUAUUUGGGAUGGAGAUUUACAAUCAGCAGAAAAGGCUAUAGCUCAAGCUUGCUCUAUGUGGCCUGAAGAAGGAUCCUUACAUCUUAUUCAUGGUGCAAUUUGCAUGCAGCUUGCCAGACAAGGUUUCAGUUCACAGUUCUUGUUGAUUGCUGCGCACAGUCUUCUUAAAGCACAAGAUAUUGGCCAUUUUUCACUGCCAGUGGUUUCUAUCCUGCUUGCACAAGCAGAAGCUAGCAUAGGCAGGGGAAAGGCUAGGUGGGAGAGAAACCUUCGUUUAGAAUGGUUAGCUUGGCCAGCAGAGAUUAGACCUGCGGAGUUAUUAUUUCAGAUGCAUUUACUUGCAGAGCAGAGUAGGGCCAUGUCAGAAAGGGAUAAAAAUUGGCCCGAGACAUCAAAAAGUUCAAGGUUGUGGCUUCAGCAUGCACUGCAUCUGAACCCAAGUUGCUUACGCUAUUGGGAAACCAUGAAACAGGCAUUGAAACUUAACUGAAUUGUUGAUGGAACUCAAAGAGUUUCUGACAGCUGUACUUGACCACACAUGAGAGAGUUUUGUAUAAUGUGGCGAUAUGCAAAAGCAUUCAAUUAUGCCUGUCUGGCAUUCAAGAAAGGAAUGCUUCUUUUGGAGGCUUCAUUGAUUAUAAAUCCAAUUAGCUUGUAAAUAUUUUGGUUGGGAAUGUUAAGUUGGUUGACCUGUUAAUCUGGGUCUGAAGAUACAAUGAUUAAGGUACUAGUGAGAAAAAUAACCAAGAGAUGGUGCAACAAUGACGGUCAUUUGAGGAUCAAGAAUUAAAACUGUCAAAAUUAAGGUGAAGCUGUUUUUUCCCUUUCCUUUAUUGCAGCAAGUAUCCUAGUCGAUAUCUUCUUGCUCGUUCCUGUCUGGAAACAAACAAUACAAUUUAUUAUCCAUGUUCAUUUGUCAAGUGUAAAAUGAAAUACAACAUCGAUUAGUAACUAUUAAUGAAAAAUAUACGUUGUAUUCUUUUCAAAUUGGAUGAAUUUAAGGUUGUAUGGUCUAGGAAGAUUUUUUAAAUGCAA